CAGAACCCUGACCCAGUUGCCUUGACAGGGCCACGCCUUCCAUUUAUAGAGCACAGGUACUGGGCAUUCGCCACUUCCAGGCCUCACACCCAACCUGCGAGGCAGGUAUUGACGGCCUCGUCUUUGCAGGUGAGGUCACUGAGCUGGGAGAUGAACUUGCUUCCACGACCCAACUACUAGAUUGGUUCCACAGCCAGUCAGAAGAUGCUGGCAGGACGGCUGAACAUGGGCCCCCGGGCAGGCUCCAGCUAUGGAGGUUCUGACUUAGCAGGGUCUGGGGGGACCAUGAGCAAGUCACUUAACCUCUUCGUGCCUCAGUUAAUGAGUAAAUGUAUGGAAUUUCCGGAAUUUCUGGCAUAGAGUAAGCACAAGAUAACUCUGUGGACAGAUAAGCCCCACCCCGACCCCUGAGAGACCCCGGCACAGCUGCAAAGGCGGCUGCAGAAGGAUCGGGAGGAGGAGAAGAUGCAUAAGGCAGCUCCCAGCCUCCCUGGGCCCACCAGGAAGAGUCGCCUGCCAGGAAGCACCUCGCGAGACCAUAGCAAGUCCCCCUCGAAUGCCCAAACCCCAAGUUUGCAAGGAGCCCACAAGAUUUUGAGUAAA